rnacentral:tRNA from 1 species
UGGCGGGUGGUGUAACGGUAACACGACCGGCUCUGGACCGGUUAAGUGAAGGUUCGACUCCUUCCCCGCCAGCCA